AUUGAACGCUAGCGGCAUGCCUAACACAUGCAAGUCGAACGAGUGGCGGACGGGUGAGUAAUAUAUCGGAACGUGCCCAGUAGCGGGGGAUAACUACUCGAAAGAUUGGCUAAUACCGCAUACCAUGGGAGCGGCCGAUAUCGGAUUAGCUAGUUGGUGGGGUAAAGGCUCACCAAGGCAACGAUCCGUAGAUGGUUUGAGAGGACGACCAGCCACACUGGGACUGAGACACGGCCCAGACUCCUACGGGAGGCAGCAGUGGGGAAUUUUGCACAAGGGGGGAAACCCUGAUGCAGCCAUGCCGCGUGUAUGAGAAGGCCUUCGGGUUGUAAAGUACUUUUAGCGGGGAGGCGUUAUCUGCAGAAUAAGCACCGGCUAACUCCGUGCCAGCAGCCGCGGUAAUUC
rnacentral:rRNA from 1 species